CGAAGGGUGCAAGCGUUACUCGGAAUUACUGGGCGUAAAAGCGUGCGUAGGCGGUUGGUUAAGUCUGCUGUGAAAGCCCUGGGCUCAACCUGGGACUGCAGUGGAUACUGGCCAGCUAGAGUGUGUCAGAGGAUGGUGGAAUUCCCCGGUGUAGCGGUGAAAUGCGUAGAGAUCGGGAGGAACACCAGUGGCGAAGGCGGCCAUCUGGGACAACACUGACGCUGAGGCACGAAAGCGUGGGGAGCAAACAGGAUU
rnacentral:rRNA from 1 species